rnacentral:tRNA from 1 species
AUCUAAAUAGUUUAAGUAAAAUAUUGGUUUGUGGUGCCGAUGAUAUAGUUGUUAUUUUAGAUU